rnacentral:rRNA from 1 species
UCUGGCGACAAUAGCGAUGUGGCACCACCUGAUCCCAUUCCGAACUCAGAAGUGAAACACAUUAGCGGCGAUGGUAGUUUGGGGUCUCCCCAUGCGAGAGUAGCACAUUGCCAGGC